UUUCUUCAGCUGGCUGCUGGCAACACAGAUGUUCAAACUGUCACGAACAUUUAUCAAGCUGUGUGAAGCCUGCUCCCCUUCACCUUCUGCCAAGAUUGGAAGCUCUCUGAGGGCCUCACAAGAAGCAGAUACUGGUGCCAUGCUUCUUGUACAGCCUGCAGAACUGUGAGGCAAAUAAGCCUCUUCUUGGUAUAAAUUACCUGCCUCAGGCAUUCCUUUAUAGCAAAGCAAAUGGACGAAGACAGAGGACUCUGGUUGAGAGCUCCGAUUCUCCAUCUUCACACUUCUCAGGGAAGAGGCAAGAGCUGCCCUGUCCAAUGGGGUAACUGCUACCUACAUGUUGCUAUUUACAUUCAAAAUAACUAAAAUUAAAUACAGUUUAAACUCUA
rnacentral:lncRNA from 10 species